rnacentral:misc_RNA from 1 species
GAAUCACCCUCUCCGGAUUCAAGUGAGUUAACUGACGUGGAAGUUUUUGGUGGAGAUGAAGACUGAGAUCCACUACCAGGUCGCUGACCCAACUGCUGGACAGGAACCUGAACAGAAGAUUGAACCCGAGUUUGACCAGGAGUUCGUGCUACACCAUGUGAUUGAGUAGGUAAAGAGACCUUGUUAACUUGGCUAUGGAGUGAUGCAGGAGGGUAGCCAGUUGAUCCUAGAACAGCACCCCUUCCAUGAGGUCUAG